UUGAAUCUUACGCUAUGAAUAAAAAUUCAUUCUUUCUUUUUCUUCUUCAAAUCAAGAAACAAGAAUCUAUUUUUCUCCCAUUUUCAUCUCACCCAAAAUUACACUUCCGAUUCUUCCAAAAUUUCUCGCAUUCUCACCGAUUCUUCCAAAAUCACACUUCGAACUCACAAUCUCCGCCGAUUCUUCAAUGAUCAGUUGUGUGCAUCUUCCGCAUCCCGCGAUUCUUCAAUCAGAAAUUUUCAAUUCAAUUUCUGAAUCAAUUGAUUGCGGGCUGAGGUAGAAGGCUAAAAAGAGACCUAUGAUGUAAAAAUAGGUGAAAAGUGGGCUAUUAAUUUAUGUCAGUGAUAUGAAAAUGUGGCUGGAAGUGGACUAUUAAUUAAUGUUUGUGAUAUGUGGAUAGCAAAAAAGAUAGAUACUCCAUGAUGCAAUAAUAGUUCUGUUGCUGGUGGUAUGAAGAGCAGGAUCGUCGGUUCUUCCAGUUUGGAAAUAAUCUUAGACCUCCAGUUCUUCUUUUUCGAGGAUCAGUAGGAGCUUACGCAUAUCUCAGAUUGUUACGGGCAAAAAAAGUCUCAAACUUGACUAUAAAGCAAGGGCUGAGGUAGAAGUCGAAAAAGAGAGCUAUGAUGUAAAAGUAGGUGAAAAGUGGACUAUUAAUUUAUGUUUGUGAUAUGAAAAUGUUGCUGGAAGUGGAGUAUUAAUUUAUGUUUCUGAUUAUGUUGCAUGGAUGAGGUAGAAAGCAAAACAGAUAGAUACUCCAUGAUGCAAUAAUAGGUGAGAAGGGGCUAAUUUGUAGUGUGAGAUUUAUCAACAUUGUGUGGUUUCUUAUGAUUUGAUGACUUAAUGAAUUGGAUUUGUUUAUAACAUUAUAUAAGCUACUUAUUGACACAAUUCUGUAGCAACUGACACAUUUGUUUAUAUAACCCUGACCAUUACUAGUUGGUUCAUGCAUUAUGGGUAGUGGCACCAUUGGUGUUCAAUCCCUCUGUCUUUGAUUGGUUAAAAUUGUUUAUAAUUUUUUAUGACAUCAUGAACUGCAUAUGGUAUAGUGAAAUUGUAUUUGCUAAAGCUGAACAAAUCUAGUGGUAUGAAGAGCGGGAUCGUCGGUUCUUUUUCCGGUAUGGAUAUAAUCUUAACCUGUAGUUCUUCUUUUUCGAGGAUCAGUAGGAGCUUACACAUAUCUCAGAUUGUUACGUGGAAAAAGUCUCAAAGUUGGCUAUGAAGCAAGUGAGACACUAGAGGACUAUUGUAGUAAAAAGAUAAACUUAAUGAACUUUAAUUGAGGAAACAUGUAUCGUCCCAAAAAUUUUCAAUCAAUUCCAUUGUUGGCCCGGGAACAGCUCCGCCAUGUAUGCAGUGGCGCUAAUCCUGGUGUUUGUAAUGGCAGUGCUUGUGGAGUGGCUUUCAUUCACUAACAUUGUGAAACUCAAACCCGGGACUUCAAGCGACGUCGUUGAUUUGCUUUUAGCAUCUAUAAAUAACAUGUUCUUGAUCAUUGGUUACUAAUACUAUGUUAUAUACUCAUAACAAUGACUUAAUGAAUAAUUUGUCCCAUUUACUACGUGAAAGCAAUUGUCCCUAUAUUUCGUAAUCCUGUUGCUGCCUUAAUUGCUACUCAAAGCAAUUGUCCCUAUCGGUGUCU